CAGCUAUUUGUAAAAAGCAGAGCGAUCCUUUUGAGAAGUACUGUUGAGGUGUCCCCUUCUUUUAGGAAGUUCAUAUUACACCACUUUGCUUUUCUGAAAGACCUCCACUGGUACCCGUUUUCACUAAGUGAAAGAAAUUGAAGAGGAUUUUCCCUUUUACAAAAAAAAGGAGAAAGGUGAAAAUAGCAUUCAGUUCCAUGAGAGUGGUGCCACCAACCUCCUUCCCUGGGAACUACACUCUGCAUGAAGCCCCCAGAGCUUUGAAUUGUUUCCUGUUUUCCUCUUAAGCAUCAGACCCUAUGUCUCCUACCUGUCUGCAUCAGCUGGAUCAUGCAAAUAAUGCUCCUGCCACCUUUGCUGGCUAGUGGCAGCUGCAGCCUACUGCUCUUCUCUCUAAGCAAGCAUGCCAGAAAGCUCGGAGAACUGCAGCUGCGCUUUCCAGAAAAGCAUCCUCUGGGUAGCUAGAGCUCCGACUUCUUGCUAAGUAAGGUAUCUUUACUAGAAUACCUUCAUGGAAACCAUAUUAUAGGUAAAAGACCUGCUGCGGCCUUCAGCCUAAUGGCUAUGCCAUUUGUGAAGAUUGCCUGCAGCUGGGGAAGCCAUUUACAUCUUGUACUUGGGUAUCACACAAUGUGUAUUUAGUGUUCAAAAUUAUAUGGUUGCGAUAUGUCAAUUUUUUUUCCUUACAAAAGUACUAAGGUAAAUAGAUUAGCAUGUAUAGUGCAUGGGGGGCACUGGGAGGGCUGCACAACA